rnacentral:rRNA from 1 species
GACAGAGGGUGCAAACGUUGCUCGGAAUCACUGGGCGUAAAGGGCGUGUAGGCGGGACAGUAAGUCGGGCGUGAAAUCCCUGGGCUCAACCCAGGAACUGCACUCGAAACUACUAUUCUUGAGUGUCGGAGAGGAAGGCGGAAUUCCUGGUGUAGAGGUGAAAUUCGUAGAUAUCAGGAGGAACACCAGUGGCGAAGGCGGCUUUCUGGACGAUAACUGACGCUGAGACGCGAAAGCGUGGGGAGCAAACAGG